AACGAACGCUGGCGGCAGGCCUAACACAUGCAAGUCGAGCGAGGACUUCGGUCCUAGCGGCGGACGGGUGAGUAACGCGUGGGAACGUGCCCUUUGCUUCGGAAUAGUCCUGGGAAACUGGGAGUAAUACCGGAUGAGCACUUAGGGGGAAAGAUUUUUCGGCGAAGGGUAGGCCCGCGUUGGAUUAGGUUGUUGGUGGGGUAAUGGCCUACCAAGCCGACGUUCCAUAGCUGGUUUGAGAGGAUGAUCAGCCACGCUUGGACUGGUACACGGCCCAUACCUGGAAGAAUGGGCAGAAUAGGGAAUCUUAGACAAUGGGGGAUACCCUGAUCUCGCCAUGCCGCGUGGGCGAUGAGGGCCUUAGGGUUGUAAAGCUCUUUCAGCUGAGAAGAUAAUGACGGUACCAGCAAAAGAAGCCCCGGCUAACUCCGUG
rnacentral:rRNA from 1 species